GUUCCAGAAACCACCAGUCUGAUUUACAUUUCUUUUGCCAUUCAUGUCACUGCUGGCCAGCACAGAGCAACAGAGGUCAAGGGGCAGAGCUGUAAAACUAUGCCAAGAUGAGGAAAAUCAAUUCUGGAGCCCAAAAGGCAAAACUACUGAUGCAGAAGAUUACUAAAUACAACCAGUUGCCUUAUGGCUCUUGAAUCUUCCAAGGAAGACACUGUGAGACUGCUGUUCAGUAAAUAUGAAACACAGUCUUAGGAUUCAUUAAUUGGCAUUGUUAAUUGCUAAUGGAGUUCAUGUGAAAAUGAUGAACAUGACCCAGCAGAGCUGCUCACAGAAGAACUUUGAUUCCCAUGACAUUCUGACUAUCAUUGCAAAUGACAAAUUCUUGGAAAGGAAAAGACAUCAAAAGGAUUGUGACUGUGAUGUCCAUUAGGGAGGAUUAUUUUGAGAAACAGUCUCCCCAUCUGUUGUCUCUUUUAAAAGCUGUCAAGCAGUAUUUUGCCUCCCUGGAAAAAAAAUGUCCACAUAUCCCAUUCCUGCUGUUCAGCAGCAGCAGCAGCCUGGAAUGGACACCCAGGAAGUUCAACUGAGUGGAGCAGGUUCAAAAAGCAUUUAU